GGAGCUAGCGAUAAUUAUAAAAAUAAUUUCUUGUUCUAACUUGCUUAAUUUGGGCAUGACAAAUCUUUUAUUACAUUCAUAGAAUCUGAAUUACU
rnacentral:snoRNA from 1 species